rnacentral:rRNA from 1 species
GACGAACGCUGGCGGCGUGCUUAACACAUGCAAGUCGAACGGUGAAGCGCCUUCCUUUUUGGUGGGUGUGGAUGAGUGGCGAACGGGUGAGUAACACGUGAGUAACCUGCCCCCUUCUUCUGGAUAACCGCAUGAAAGUGUGGCUAAUACGGGAUAUUCUGGGUCUGUCGCAUGAUGGGUCUGGGAAAGAUAUUGUUUCGGUGGGGGAUGGGCUCGCGGCCUAUCAGCUUGUUGGUGGGGUGAUGGCCUACCAAGGCGGUGACGGGUAGCCGGCCUGAGAGGGUGGACGGCCACACUGGGGAUGAGACACGGACCCGCCUCCUACGGGAGGCAGCAGUGGGGAAUAUUGCACAAUGGGCGCCAGGCUGAUGCAGCGCCGCCGCGUGGGAGAUGGAGGCCUUCGGGUUGUGAACCUCUUUCGCCAGUGAAGCAGGCCUGCCUCGUUUGUGGGUGGGUUGACGGUAGCUGAAUAAGAAGCGCCGGCUAACUACGUG